rnacentral:rRNA from 1 species
UGGGGAAUUUUGGACAAUGGACGAAAGUCUGAUCCAGCGACGCCGCGUGAAGGACGAAGGUUUUCGGAUCGUAAACUUCUUUUGCAGGGGACGAAUAUGCGCAAGCAUUUGACGGUACUCUGCGAAUAAGCCACGGCUAACUACGUGCCAGCAGCCGCGGUAAUACGUAGGUGGCGAGCGUUACUCGGAAUUACUAGGCGUAAAGCGCGUGUAGGCGGGAGCUUAAGUCCGCUGUUAAAUCUCACAGCCCAACUGUGAAAUGCCGGCGGAUACUGGGUUUCUUGAAUUCGGUAGAGGUAACUGGAAUUCCAGGUGUAGCGGUGAAAUGCGUAGAUAUCUGGAAGAACGCCAAAGGCGAAAGCAGGUUACUGGGCCGCAAUUGACGCUGAGACGCGAAAGCUAGGGGAGCAAACA